rnacentral:rRNA from 1 species
GUCUAUGGCCAUGCUACCCUGAACAAGCCAGAUCCGUCUUAUCUCGGAAGCUAAGCAGGGUUGGGCCUGGUUAGUACUUGGAUGGGAGACCACCUAGGAAGACCAGGUGCUGUAGGCA